GGCUGGAAAAGGCAGGCCUGGAGGCAGGGACCAGUUAGGAGGCUGCAGCACUCCUCAUCCAGUUCCUUCACUCACCCAACAGCUCCCUGUGUACCUACUGUGCACUGGGGUGAGGCAAAACAGGAUUCCUGAGCCUACAGAGUCCAUAGUCUAGCAUGAAAGAGACACGACGGAAAAACGAUUCGAGUGCACUGAACGUCAUGAAGAAGUACAAGGUCCUCUGGAGCGGGGUGCUGUUUACUGUCUAGUUUUUAGGCUUCCCUGCGGAAAUGACGUUCAAGCUGGUAUCUAUCUGAAGGAUAAGUAGGAGUUAGCAGGGCUCCGAGAGGGGGCGUGCAUUCCAGGAUUGGGGACAACACGUGUGGAAGUCCUGCAGCUGACGAGCGGGAGAGUGGCGGAAGAAGACACAAAAAGAGAUAGGGUUUUGCCAUGUUGCCCGAGCUGGUCUUGAACUCCUGGGCUCAAGUGAUUCGCCUGCCUCAGCCUCCCAGAACUUUGAGGAGGUGUGAGCCACCGCACCCAGCCAGACCUGCAGAUCUUGAACCCAGAAGAGAUCAUUAAAGUCAAGAGUGUAAAUGAGAUUACCUGGAAGGACCUCACAGGCACCGCGGUGGCCUCUGCCCUAUCCUGGACCAGUUCCAGGAACGUCAGAUGGUGAGAAGAAACGACUUACAAACGUCAAGUCCAUCUUACAGAUGGAAAAACUGAAGUUCAGAGAGGAGAAAAGACUUGCCCAAGUGCCUGGUAUGAAGAGAAAGACUAUACUGUCCCUUUCAGACAGAAGGAUGUAGAGUGGCCGGCCCCGAAGCCCAGGUUAACCUCCUUGCCCUGCACUCUCUACUUCAUCUAGAGCAAUGGUUUUCAACUUAGGGCGAUUUUGCCCCCCAGGGAACAUUCUACCAUGUCUGGAGACGUUUUUGGCUUUCCCAAUGAGGAGGUUGCUACUGGCAUUUCAUGAGAAGAGACCAGGGAUGCUGCUACACGCCUUCCAUGCACAGGAUAGCCCCCGCGCCAGAGAAUUGUCAGGCCCAAAAUGUCAGCAGGUUUCUGAGGCUGAGAAACUGUUCUAGGGCUUGGCAUCUGCCUAAAUAAACCUCCAAAUGGACUCCUGGAGGCCUGGGUUCUUCUGCAGCCGGGGAGGAUAUUGUAUAAAGUCUAUCCUAGGGUCAUGCCUGCCCCAACUUGUCUAUUUCACCUUGCUUAGGACUGGUCAGUUCCACUCUUGGGGUUCGUGGUUUUGAAUUCCACUCAUUGACAGAGAGGACAGAAUAAUUAAUAUUUGCUGGAGGCAUGUAAAACCAGUAGUCUCCCUGCUGAGGGCAUGAAUGAAAAUGUAAAUGGGGGCCUGGUACAGUGACCCAGGCUUGUAAUACCAACGCUUUGGGAGGCCAAGGUGGGUGGAUUGCUUGAGGCCAGGAGUUCAAGACCAGCUUGGCCAACAUGGUAAACCAUAUCUCUACUAAAAAUACAAAAAUUAGCCAGGCAUGGUGUCUGGCACCUGUAGUCCUAGCCACUCAGGAGGCUGAGGUACAAGAAUAACUUGAACCCAGGAGGCAGAGGUUGCAGUGAGCUGAGGUCACACCACUGCACUCCAGCCUGAGUGACAGAGGGACUCUGUCUCAAAAAAAAAAAAACUAAAUGGGGAGGUGGAAGGUGGGGAGAAAACAAAAUUAUUGGGAUUAAGGCCUCCUUCUGGGGAUGGCUAGGAGGCAUAGUCAUCCUAUGCCUUCCUUCUCACCUGGUCUGUGAGAAGCAUAAACUGAGGCCCCACAAUGUGAAAAGCCUCAAAGUGGGUCGCAUAGCUGGUCAGAGGUGGAGGUGGGACUUCUGAUUUUAUUUAUAUAUUAAUUAAAGCUUUGUCAUCAUCUAUUCUACUUCAGGCCUAGGCCUGGAACUAGGGCCUGGGUGGUAGAAUGAUUGCUCUAGAGCAGCAAGGGGGGACUAGAUUAGGGGAGGCAGGAUAGAGGCCAGGGCAGGACCUGGAACAAUGGUGGAGGUGAAAAGUGGGAGUGCAGAGAGGAAUCAGGUUUCCCCUGUGAUCCUCGCUGGCACCUUUCACAGAGACACAUAAACCAGGGGCUCCUUUUGUACAUCUGAUGAAAACUUUGCAUUAUUUCUGGAGAAAUGUGCAACAUACAGUUUGCUUAUAAUUUCAGUAACUCCAAACUCCAAAGUUCUAUACUGACUACCAGAAGGAUUGGAUGGGAGGUGGGUGGGGAAGAGGGUUGAUUCUUAAGUGUAUAUAGAAUAAACAUACAGGAAUAAAAAGUCCAGGAAGAGGCCGGGUAUGGUGGCUCACGCCUGUAAUACCAGCAGUUUGGGAGGCCAAGGUGGGCAGAUCAGGAGUUCAAGACCAGCCUGGUCAACAUGGUGAAACCCUGUCUCUACUAAAAAUACAAAAAAUUAGUCAGGCGUGGUGGCUCAUGCCUGUAAUCCCAGCUACUCUGGAGGCUGAGGCAGGAGAAUCACUUGAAUCCAGGAGGCAGAGGUUGUAGUGAGCCAAGAUCACACCACUGCACUCCAGCCUGGGCAACAGAGCAAGACUCCAUCUCAAGAAAAAAAAAAAAUUCAGGAAGAAAAGUAAUGAAAAGGGAUUUGUUUUAGCUGAUACUAAACAUACUAUAAAGUCAAUGUAUUUAAAACAGUAUGGUAUUGAAGCAGGACUAGACUGAUCUGUGGAACAAAAUGGAGAACGGAAAUGGAUCCAGACCCACAAAGGAAUUCAAUCUAUGAUAAAGAUAGCACUUUAUAGCCCAGCACAGUGGCUCAUUCCAGUAAUCCAAACACUUUGGGAGGUCAAGGUGGGUGGAUCACUUGAGACUAGCCUGGGCCACAUGGCAAAACCUUGUCUCAAAAAAUAACACAAAAAUUUAGCUGGGCAUGGUUGCACACACCUGUAGUCCCAGCUACCAGGGAGACUGGAGUGGGAGGAUUACCUAAGCCUGGGAGGUCAAGGCUUCAGUGAACUGUGAUCACGCCACUGCACUCCAGCCUGAGCAUCAGAGCAAGACUCUUGUCUCUAAAUGAAUGAAUGAAUGAAUAAAAGAUAGCACUUCAGACAAAUGGGAAGGGGGUCUGACAGGGAGUGGGGAGGGGAGAUAAGCCUUUCAACAAAUGGGUGGAAUAACCAGCAAGCCUUUUAGGGAAAUUACAAAAAGCUGUGCCCUUAUUCUACACAGAAAUAAAUUUCAGGAGGAGCACAUAUUUAACACCAUAAUGUAUCAGAAAAAAAGUCAUGAGUGAAUAUUUUAAUAAUCUUGGAGAUAGAAGACUUUCUAAGCAUAAUGAAACCUAGAAGCCAUAAGAGAAAACAUGGAAAUAUUUGACUACAAGACUUCUAUACAGAAAAAAUGGCCAUAAGCCAAUGUGAAAGACGAAUGACAAAACGGAGGGGAUCAAUCUUGGUUGUCCUCCACUCUGCCCCCUCCUGCCCGCCAGCCCCUCCAAGCUAAGAUGGAUGAGCAGGAGGGACGGCUGGGGCAGUGAGAGCCCCAAGCACCUGGCAGAGGCUUCUCCCGUGGCACUCUGGCCAGCGCCCACAUGUUCAGGGGCCGGGAAGCCCCGGAAACCCCAGGCGGGCCAUCUGGGUCCUCAGCAGGUGCCUUGGCACAGCAAAGCCAAAGUCCGCCUGGAGGCUGCUCACCACUUCCCUCGAGUGGCCAUCCUGGGUACUUCAAUCUUCUGUUCCUGCUCAUACCCCUUCUGAGUAUCAAGGCGAGAAUUUUAAAAUAAAUAAAUAAAUAACAACUAAUUUUUUGAGGUAACUAACCAUGUCCCAGGCAUUGUGCUAAACACUUAACCUAGCAUGUUUCAUUUUCCCCUCAAGACAACUCUUCGAGGUAGGUCCACAGUAUUCUCAUCUCCAUUUGAUGGGAGCAAACUGAGGCUUGGAAAAAAGUGACUUGUCUAAGUGGUGGCACCAGGAUUUAAUGCCCCAUUCCUGGCCUCAACUCUUAAUGUAUAAAGCCAGUCUUUGGAAAAAUGCAAUAAAACAAACUUUUUUGAGGUUUACCUUGAUCCAGGUCUUUUGAAGGUGCUGGAGAUUCCGAAUUGAGGAAAAUAGUCAUCAGAGAUGACAGCAGAGAAACACUCCUGAUACAGCAAAUCCUGAUAGC